GGAAUAACUAUCUGCAUAUGAUGGAAUGGCAUGUGACGACGAGCACUGUUGAUGGUGAACGAAGCUUGGGAGGAGAUGUCUGCAGAAUGAGAAGCACGGUUGCCUCAUGCCUAACACAACUGAUACCCUCAGAGAGACAAGAAAAUACACCACAUCCACCAAACAGGACAAAGAGGAUGUAGAAAAGGAAUGUUCAGAGAAACAAGGUAUUGGUGACCUUUUCCAGAGAAGUGUCCAGGAAGCGGUGUGGGAAGAAUCUGG